GAUGAACGCUGGCGGCGUGCCUAAUACAUGCAAGUCGAGCGAACGGACGAGGCGCUUGCUUCUCUGAUGUUAGCGGCGGACGGGUGUGUCACACGUGUAUCCCCUCCCUAUCAGACUGGGAUCACUUCGGGAAUCCGGCGCUAAUAGCGGAUGAUAUUUUGCACCGCAUUGUUCAAUGGUGAAAUACGGUCUUGCUGUCUCUUCUCGCUGGAUCUGCGCUGCAUUGGCUAGUUGGUACGGUAAAGGCUUACGACGGGAACGAGGCGUAGCCGACCUGAGAGGGUGGUCGGCCACACUGGAAGGGAGACACGGACCAGACGCCUACGGGAGGCAGCAGUCGGGAAUCUUCCGCAAUGGGGGAGAGCCUUACGGAGCAAGGCCGCGCGAGAGAUGAAGGUCUUCGGAUCGGAAAACUCUGUUACUAGGGAAGAACAGAUGUGUAAGGAACUGUGCACAGCGUGACGGUACCUAAUCAGAAAGCCACGGCUAACUACGUG
rnacentral:rRNA from 1 species